CUUGUUGCAUUUAAUAUAAGGAAACAUUACAACCUGAAGAAAGUGCGUCAGCAUAAACUAGAUCAAGCAAAACAAAAGGAGAAAAUAGGAUGCAAUUAUGGGCUGACAUCAAGUAAUGGCCCGAGACGGAGUUGCGGGCCUUCGCAGCCCAGUCGGCUACAAGGUUUGCUUCACGUCUGCAGUGAAGUAAUUUUAGGUUAGAAAACCUGGAGAGCAGAGCAGUGGCUUCGUCAAACAGAGGGCGAAGAGUCCAUGGCGGCUGACGCGUUCGUUGCAAUGAUUCGAUAAGAAGAAGACAAUCAGAUUCAACCUCCAGAGAAGCAUUGUGGAGUCUUUGCGUGAGUAGAUGCUAAAGAGUGUGUAGGUCAGCGCCAACACCUCCGCUUCAAAAGCAGAUCGCGCCUAGACUCGGCCGGAAAACAGAUCCGUAAGUCUUCCCUUCGAAUCUCUACUGAUACAGGCAAUGGACCCUUCGUCACUACCAUAACUGGCAUCAAUAUUGCAUUUGAGGAUACCCAAUUUCGGAGGGCGCCAGAGGUGCGAUGGGUGCAGAGAGGAAGAAACAGGGCUCGAUCGCAGUGCUGCAGAGUGGAGCCGAGAAGACUUUGUUUGAGCCACCGCUGUAAACACUGCAUAGGAAGCAUCGGGUUGCUGAUUCCGAAAAGUGAAAUUGUUCCUCAUCCGCCAUAUCUGCCAAAGGGUGUUAGCAAUCAGGGAAAGACCGGGUGAGUUCUAAGGGAUAAGUGCUGAAGAAUGCUCGGCUAAGGGCUUCUAAAGCUGCUGCACAGGUAGAACUGGAGGUUCUCGGUGGUUUUGAGCAGCAUUGGAAGUACCAUCUGCUGGAAUUAUAGAUGGUGGGGGCAAUAAGGGAAUAUUCAGUAUCCGUCCAAGCGGGGUUUCAGCUGCAGUAUAGACAAUGUCUUUGCAAUUCAUCGCAUAAUGCCCAAGUUUGCCACGGGAAUAACAGAAGUGUGAGAGGCGUUCAUACCGGAAAUCAAGCCAAAAAGGCGAGGGAUUAUCGUCACAAUUCUCAAUUUGCUGUUCAGUGGUUAAGCGUCCCAAGCUAGAGCAAAGAGCAGCCAGGCGCGAGGUAUCGGGAGGGUCGUUCGUAGCCAUCCAGGAGAAAAGUAAUACUAAAAUCAAAGGAACUCAACCUUCAAAAAUCUAAUACCCAUAACAGAAUGCGGAAAUAGCCCCUUGACUAACAACAAGUCCCCCUCUGCAGUGACUAAAGAAGUCAAAAUGGAGGCAUGCAGAAACGAACCAGAGUGAAUCGGUUGAUGAUUGAAUGGGCCCGCCUGCCAUGGAAGUCCGACAGAAUGAAAUCCAUCCAAAAGUAAGCCGAUGAUGUCAUAAUUGUUGAAGGAAACAGGGAUGCCAGUAUCGAUUUAAAGAACGUAGAAAGUGGAAGAAAAGUUGGGCGAAAACAGGGAUAUCGAGCGAAAGGGUAAAAGAUGCCACCUAAUUUUAGGGUUCAAUUGCAGGAAAGCCAUGAAAAUGCCAGCGAAGGAAGGAGAAUCGGUGGAAUUGAAAAGGAAAGAAACAGGAAUUGGGGUUUUGAGAACUACCAAGAGCGGUAGAGAGAGCUCGACAAAACGAGAGGGUUCUAACCGAUGUUAGGAACUUGCAUGCCCUCUUGACUCUUGAGGGAGACAAUUUCGCAGGCGAUUUAUAGACUUUUUAAGGUAUGAAAAAGAAAGAGUUAACUUAAAAUUCCAAGUCAAUGAUUUCA